CCCUUAGAUGUCCGGGGCCGCACGCGCGCUACACUGAAGGAAUCAGCGUGUUUACGCUCCUGCGCCGAAAGGCGUGGGUAAUCCGCUGAAACUCCUUCGUGAUAGGGAUUGAGCUUUGUAAUUUUCGCUCAUGAACGAGGAAUUCCCAGUAAGCGCGAGUCAUCAGCUCGCGUUGAUUACGUCCCUGCCCUUUGUACACACCGCCCGUCGCUACUACCGAUUGGAUGAACCGGUGAAUAAUUCGGACUGCGGAGUUGCCUGGUUUCCAGGCUUCUCUGCGGGAAGUUUAGUGAACCUUAUCAUCUAGAGGAAGGAGAANUCGUAACA
rnacentral:rRNA from 1 species